rnacentral:tRNA from 1 species
UGCGCCGUCGUUCAACAGGAAGCGACACUAGCCUACGAAGCUUGAGAUACUGGUUCGAGUCCAGUCGGCGCGACCA